rnacentral:rRNA from 1 species
UACGGGGGGGGCAAGCGUUGUUCGGAAUUACUGGGCGUAAAGGGCUCGUAGGCGGCCAACUAAGUCAGACGUGAAAUCCCUCGGCUUAACCGGGGAACUGCGUCUGAUACUGGAUGGCUUGAAUCCGGGAGAGGGAUGCGGAAUUCCAGGUGUAGCGGUGAAAUGCGUAGAUAUCUGGAGGAACACCGGUGGCGAAGGCGGCAUUCUGGACCGACAUUGACGCUGAGGAGCGAAAGCCAGGGGAGCAAAGCGGG